rnacentral:rRNA from 1 species
GACGAACGCUGGCGGCGUGCUUAACACAUGCAAGUCGAACGAUGAAGCCGGAGCUUGCUCUGGUGAAUUAGUGGCGAACGGGUGAGUAACACGUGAGUAACCUGCCCUUGACUCUGGGAUAACUGCGGGAAACUGUAGCUAAUACCGGAUACGACCCUCGGAGGCAUCUCCUGGGGGUGGAAAGAAUUUCGGUCAAGGAUGGACUCGCGGCCUAUCAGCUAGUUGGUGAGGUAAAGGCUCACCAAGGCAACGAUGCGUAGCCGACCUGAGAGGGUGACCGGUCACACUGGGACUGAGACACGGCCCAGACUCCUACGGGAGGCAGCAGUGGGGAAUAUUGCACAAUGGGCGCAAGCCUGAUGCAGCAACGCCGCGUGAGGGAUGAAGGCCUUCGGGUUGUAAACCUCUUUUAGCAGGGAAGAAGCGAAAGUGACGGUACCUGCAGAAAAAGCACCGGCUAACUACGUGCCAGCCGCCGCAGUAA